GCCUGGGUGGCUUAGUUGGUUAAGUGUCUGACUUCAGCUCAGGUCAUGAUCUCAUGGUUCAUAGGUUCGAACCCCGCAUCAGGCU
rnacentral:tRNA from 1 species